rnacentral:rRNA from 1 species
GACGAACGCUGGCGGCGUGCCUAAUACAUGCAAGUAGAACGCACAGUUUAUACCGUAGCUUGCUACACCAUAAACUGUGAGUUGCGAACGGGUGAGUAACGCGUAGGUAACCUGCCUGGUAGCGGGGGAUAACUAUUGGAAACGAUAGCUAAUACCGCAUAAUAUUGAUUAUUGCAUGAUAAUUGAUUGAAAGAUGCUAUUGCAUCACUACCAGAUGGACCUGCGUUGUAUUAGCUAGUAGGUGAGGUAACGGCUCACCUAGGCGACGAUACAUAGCCGACCUGAGAGGGUGAUCGGCCACACUGGGACUGAGACACGGCCCAGACUCCUACGGGAGGCAGCAGUAGGGAAUCUUCGGCAAUAGACGAAAGUCUGACCGAGCAACGCCGCGUGAGUGAAGAAGGUUGUCGGAUCGUAAAGCUCUGUUGUAAGAGAAGAACGGGUGUGAGAGUGGAAAGUUCACACUGUGACGGUAUCUUACCAGAAAGGGACGGCUAACUACGUG